AUCGCUUCUCGGCCUUUUGGCUAAGAUCAAGUGUAGUAUCUUUUCUUAUCAGUUUAAUAUCUGAUAUGUCCUCUAUAUGGGGAUUAAAUAUUAAAUGCAUUUUUGAGCAGUGGGAGGUGAAAACUGGGGCUUGCUCUCUUCACUCCUUGCAUUGGCCCAUGAGGUAAUUGCAGAGUGCCACCAGGAGCGGUGCACCAUUC